UAAUAUGACAGGCCGCCAAGGAGAACUGAAUUGUGACUGUAAGUGGAAACCCAACAUGGGAGCUUGGAAGCGCACAUAUACGAGUACAAACAGGACAGACAUUGUAACAGGACCACUCGGUAACGAGGACACUCUGUAUUAUCACGCCCCAAAGGGUAAAGAGGGAUGGGAUGGUCCUUUUCCAAACGGGACGUGGGCCCUAAAGGGACAUUAUUGGGUGUGUGGCAAACAUGCUUACAAGAGGCUACCCGGAAACUGGUCGGGAAUAUGCUAUGUGGAGUACAUAAGACCCUUGUUCUUUUUAUUGUCACAAACACAAGGAAAUCAUUUAGGAAUAAGAUUAUAUGAUGAUCUGAACAGAAUGAAACGAUCUAUUGAUACUUCCUUAGCCGGGGGUAGUGCCCAAAAAUGGGGAAAGGAUGAAUGGCCUCCUGAAAGAAUCAUACAGCAUUAUGGGCCAGCUACCUGGAACCCGAAUGAGUUGGUAUCAGGAGCCCGAGAACCUAUUUAUAAUUUGAACCGAAUAAUUAGGUUGCAAGCUAUCCUCGAAGUUGUAACCAAUCAAACAGCGACGGCCUUGGAUCUUCUGGCUGAUCAAUCCAUUCAGAUGAGGAAUGCUAUCUUUCAACAUAGAAUGGUCUUAGACUAUUUACUAGCAGAAGAAGGGGGAGUGUGUGGAAAACUGAACGAUUCUAAUUGUUGUUUACAAAUUGAUGAUAAUGGAAAAGUGGUUAAACAGAUAACAAAGGAAAUUAGGAAGUUAGCCCACGUCCCAGUACAAACUUGGAAGGGUAUGGAUUGGGAUUUCUUUUCGUGGUUGCCUGGUGGACCAUAGGUUAAAAGGAUGCUAUUUUUAUUUUUAUGUGGUGUAAUGACGUUAUUGUUUAUACCUUGUAUGAUACGCUUUACGUUGUUGGUACGGCGAAUAAUAAAUAGCACCCAAUUUGUGAUGACUUCGGUAGAGAAAAAAGGUGAUGUGUUGAUAAUGAUGCUUAAGAAAUGGACACCCCGAGAACUGACUGAUGAAACCCAGUUUGUGAUGACUUCAGUGGAGAAAAA